UAGACUGUUCUAUCUUUUAACUACUCAAGACACAAGAGGCGGUUACAAGUCCCAUGGUAAAAGGUAAAAUAAGUAAGUUUUAUGUCUUGAUAGUUUACUCUAACUCAGAGAUGAGACCUCAUUUAAAAGCAUGUCUACCGUCAAUUUUUAAAGGUAUUGCAGCAACUUCUGAUCCAUCAAUGAGAUUAUCCUUGCUCAGGGACGAGCAAAAGGUAAGCUUGGGGGAUUUUGUUGACGGACCUUAAGUAUCAAAUUUAAUUAACAAAUAACAAAGAAAAGGAUCCAAAUGCAACUGACAUCCAGACUUAGGGUUUUAUCUGACAGAAUUCCACGAGUUUUGGUGUUUGUCUAUUUCUGCAGGGGGUUAUUAGGAAUUAUGGAAGAAAGGCCCACACGUCGGGUUUACAUAGACGUGCUGCGCAAUCUUACAACUAGAAGAGUCCAGAAGCCACGGGAACGAACGGGAGACCGGACGGGUGUAACACCCAAAAAUCUGUUUUAAAUUAAUCGAAAUUAAUUAAGCAUUUUUGUGCACAUUUAAAUUCAGCACUUAAAUAAUUUUUGGUCAAAAUUAAAAUUUAUCAUAAGAUUAGAAACUUGUUUAUGCACUCAUGCUGAAGAAUAUUUUAUUUUGUAUUGUUUGCCUCUGGUUUGAAUUUAUUUGCACUCAAAAUUUUAUUUGGAAAAGGUUUUUGGAAAAGAAAACAGAAAAAGAAAAAAAAAGAAGAAAACCCCAGCCGAACCCCCCUCACCCUCGCACUCGGCGCGCUAGCGGUCAGCCAACCCACUGGCUUCCGUUCCCGCCCCGGCCCAACACCCCCUCCCUUUUCUUUUUCCCCUACGCGAGGCCCAGCAACCCCGCGGCCCAUCUGCCCCGCGGGCGCGCCCCUCCUUCUCCCUUGACCCGCUGACGGAUGGGCCCCGUUCUUCUGUCCCUGACGCGUGGGGCCCCCGGAACAGCGCUGGCCUUCUCCUUCCUCUGCUCGUAACCGAGUCGGGCACAACACCACCGAAUUUAAUCCCGGGAACAGCGCGAUUUGCUUGCCUUUUGCGCGAAACAAAUCCUUAUAAAGCCCUAGGAACCUUUCCCCGCACCCCUUUUCCCUACUCAAGCAUUAUUUCUAAGCCCUAGCCAUCGUCUCUGCGUAGUUGGAUCUCGCCGAAAGCCACACUCCUUUCCCCGUCGCGACGCGAGCUUCUCGCUCCCUCUUGGCCCGACCAAAGGCGCUAGGUGAGUUUGCGGGCUUCUCCUCCUUCUUCCCGUGCCCGCGGCUUGGUUUUUGGUGCACAGAAUCGCGAGAACGCAGGCGCCGGCGAGCUUAGCAGCGACGCAAAUGGUGCACCACCGCGCCGGAGGACAGGAGCCGGCCGGCCCGCCGCCAGCGCCCCCUGCGCGUUUUCCACCGUCCGUUUGAAGAUCUGCGGCUGAGAUUAGAAGAAAACGUUUCGGCCAGCAUUUUUGCUAAAGAGUCCCUGGACUUUUCUAGGAAUUAACCCGCGGUCCAUGAGGGCUAUAAUGGCUCUGGCUUUAGCUCAGUAUGGAGACCUUUUCUAGCUUGUUAGAGGUUACCCGAAAGGGUGGAGGGGCUGAACCGAAACGGGUAUAGUGCGAGCCCCUGUCCCUCUGUGUAUAGGCUGCGCGUCAUUGUGCUAUUCAGAAGGGGGGUAUCUAUAUCUGCUCGCAAAGGAAACCUUGCGGCCCUAACAUGUUAGACGAACUUUUGAAAGGCUUCAUAGUGAUCCCUGCCGACCUCUCUGGGAUGGGGGUUAAGAGAUUUGCUACCUCGGGCGAAAGGGUAAAUCAUGACUCAUGGGUAAAGAUGUACAACCUCUGCAGAGUGUAAAACUGGUAUACCAGCCGAGCUCACGGUCAAGAGCGGCCUUGGGGACAUCUAUAUUAAGAAGAUGAGCUUAUUAUGUUAUUAUGUUCAUUUGAUUAUCGUUUAUGCUAAGAAUUAAUUAUGCUUACACUUGGUCACAGGAUUAAUGGAUUAUUUAUGCUACCUUGACAUUUGCUAUUUAAUUAUGAAUAUGCUAUCCACUAUUAAAAGAUAAAUGCAGUCAAACCAGUGUCAGCUAUUUGAGCCUCAUGAACCCCUAGUUAUACUUGUUGAGUACGAAAUGUGCUCACUCUUGCAAUUUUCCAACACCUCAGGAUAUAAUAAUGAAGAUGACUGGAAUGAGGAUUACCGUUAUGAGUACUAGGUUUGGAGUCAACCAGUCAACAGUGUCCCUGUGUGGAGCUUCCGUCAAGAGCGUUGUUUACUUUAUGUUAUCAUUUUUGUAUGAGACUAUGUGAUAUAUUGUAUUCCGCUAUGUAAUAAACACUGCAAUGGUACAUUUGAGAUUUGUCUACUUAUGUGUGCGACUGUUUCUGAGGCACAUAUGACUCUUUUAUACAUCCAAUUUUGUUCUUAAAAUAUGGGUGUGACAAAUUGGUAUCAAAGCUUUGUUGACUGUCGGACGCAAGUCUAGUUAGAAAUCAGUCGUCUUAAGGUUUUGAAAUUUCUAUAAAAUCCUUGUUCUAUAAACCUUGAUAUUUUCUCCUAUACUAUAUCCUUUCCACUGAUAUUCAUCUUCACCUUGAUGCUUAUUUUAAAGACUUGUUCUCAUCCCCACUCCUUGCUUGAUAUGCUUUUAGAACCUUGUCUUACCACUUUCUGGCGACAUUUAAAUAGGAGUUUUAGGAUCUUUGCCCUUAAUAGGAAGAGAACGCUAGUACCGCAAGUUGAGUCAAUGCUUGAAGUGUGAAACUUUGAUGCUUGCUUUGGUUUGUUAUUAUGCUUAUGCUUGAUUGGGAUCUUUGGAAUGAGUGUAAUGAUCUUGUGGAUUUCCUCUACAAUUUCAUUUAGUUUAUAGGCUUAAGGCAUAAGGAUUAAUGAACUAAACAGUUGGGGUUGGUUAAAAUUCUGUUUCUGUCCUUUGCUGUUUUCUGGAGCAGUCUGCAAAUAAUCUGGUACAUCUCAAAAUCUGUUAGUGCAAUGUUCAUCAAAUUUUUCUGAGAACAAGUGGACUUUCAUAUCUUUCCAAUGCCUCAAGAAUGACAUUAUUAUCUGUUAUGAGCUGUGAGUUAUGGCUGUUCAAAGAUGAGGUUUCUGCGCAGUCUGGAAUUCUGGAACAAUUUCGGUUAUGCCCAGUUUUGACUAAUUUAACCACAGAAUCUGUUAAUAUGGUCUAAAUGAAAGUUGUAGAAAAUUUCUUUAUCUUUCCAACAGUUUAUAGCAUGUAUCCUUUUAAAUUAUGGAACUCAUGAUAUGAAUGAUUUUCUGAUCUGCUGAUGUCGGAUGUUACCCAGAAAAUUUCAGAUUCCGUUAACUCUUGUAAUUGUCAUGCUGGACAUUACUAAGACAUGAUUCUAUACCUUGGAAUGCAGAUGGCAGCAAGGGGAAGAGGCAGAGGCAGAGGCCGUGGCAAUGGUGACAAUGCCCCAAUUACUGUGGAGGAACUUAUGCAAACUCAAAAGGAGAUGAUGCACGUCUUCAUGCAGCACCUACAGCAGCAACCUCCACCACCCCCACCACCUGUUCAUGUGAGAGAUAAGCGUGGCGAGUUUAUGAAGGGAAGACCUCCUGUAUUUACACACUCAGCUGAUCCCAUAGAGGCAGAUGAUUGGUUACGUGCUGUGGAGAGGCAACUGAACAUAGCAUAGUGCAAUGAUCUGGAGAAGGUGUACGUAUGCUUCUGGACAGCUUCAGGGGGCAGCUCAGACAUGGUGGGAGUCAUAUCAAGCUGCUCGUCCCAACAAUGCUCCUCCUGUCACUUGGCUGGAAUUCUAUAGAGAUUUCAGAGCUCGACAUAUAAAUGAGGGAAUGAUGGAGCUCAAGCAAGAAGAAUUCAUAUCACUCAGGAUGGGCUCUAUGACUGUGGCAGAGUAUCAUGACACGUUUGAGCAGUUGGCCCGCUAUGCCCCGAAUGAAGUCAAGGAAGAUGCUGAUAAGCAGCAUCUUUUCAUGAAAGGUCUUUACUAUGAGCUCAAGUUGCAGUUGGCUGGAAACACCUAUCCUACCUUCCAGGCACUUGUGAAUCGUGCCAUUGUGCUUGAUAAUAUGCGUAAGGGUCCGGACAAGAAGAGAAGGAUGCUAGCACAAGGUUCUGGAGGCAACAACCGCCAACGUUUCAAUUCAUAGCAAGGCGAUCAACAGAGGUUCCAGGGACCGGUUGGUCAAUGGGAUCGCAACCAACAACCUCAGCGUACUCCUAAUCAACAACAGAAUGGUCAGCAGAUUCCCCGCUCGGGAAAUUCAAAUGCCACCUCUAUGAAGAGAAGUGCUCCCAAUACCCCUACUAGGUGUUUUCGCUGUGGAAAAGAAGGUCAUAUGUCAUAUGAUUGCCCGGAGAGAUUCAACCAGCAGAACAACAAUCAAAAGUCUAAUUCUCAUGGAGCAAAGGUGAACCAUGUGGCUGCAGAGACAGUACAAGAGGGACCAGAAAUUAUGAUGGGUAAGUUCAGUAUCAACUCCAUCCCCGCUAUAGUUUUAUUUGAUUCUGGAGCUUCGCAUACAUUCAUAUCACAAGCAUUUGUUAGAGUUCAUAGCAUACCACUAGUUGCCAUGAAAACCCAUAUGCUAGUAAACUCACCGGGAGGGACUAUACCAGUUUCAUAUUGUUGCCCCUCAGCAAGUCUUUCUUUAAGGGGGGUAGAUUUUUCGGUUAGUCCCAUGGUUAUGAGAACCUCACGCAUAGAUGUCAUAUUGGGUUUGGAUCGGAUGAAGAAAUAUACUACGGAGAUUAAGUGCAAAGAGAAAGUAGUUGUUGUGACAACACCAAAGGGAGAGAGAAUCAGUGUAGAUGUAGCCGUACAGGCUCCACCCACAGCUACAGUAAACCAGCGGGAUGAUGAUGUUAAUCUUCAGGAAUGUGUAGGGAUUAAAUCUUCAGAUGAAUUUUCAGAUAAUUUACCAGGUAUGCUACCUGGCUAGAGAUAUUGAGAUUGCUAGUACAAUGGAAUUAGUAUUUAGAGACAGAAUAAACUUGGGAAAGAGAGAAUGAUUGGAGAGAAUCAUAUCCACAACUGUUUGUUUACGCACUGCUCAAUCUCGAGGACGAGUUUCUUUUAAGGGGGGUAGAAUUUGUAACACCCAAAAAUCUGUUUUAAAUUAAUAGAGAUUAAUUUGAAUUAAUUAAGCAUUUUUGUGCACAUUUAAAUUCAGCGCUUAAAUAUUUUUUGGUCAAAAUUAAAAUUUAUCAUAAGAUUAGAAACUUGUUUAUGCACUCAGGCUGAAGAAUAUUUUAUUUUGUAUUGUUUGCCUCUGGUUUGAAUUUAUUUGCACUCAAAAUUUUAUUUGGAAAAGGUUUUUGGAAAAGAAAACAGAAAAAGAAAAAAAAAAGAAGAAAACCCCAGCCGAACCCCCCCCUCACCCUCGCACUCGGCCCGCUAGCGGUCAGCCAACCCACUGGCUUCCCUUCCCACCCCGGCCCAACACCCCCUCCCUUUUCCUUUUCCCCUACGCGAGGCCCAGCAACCCCGCGGCCCAUCUGCCCCGCGGGCGCGCCCCUCCUUCUCCCUUGACCCGCUGACAGAUGGGCCCCGUUCUUCUGUCCCUGACACGUGGGCCCUCGGAACAGCACUGGCCUUCUCCUUCCUCUGCUCGUAACCGAGCCGGGCACAACACCGCCGAAUCCAAUCCCGGGAACAGAGCGAUUUGCUUGCCUUUUGCGUGAAACAAAUCCUUAUAAAGCCCUAGGAACCUUUCCCCACACCCCUUUUCCCUACUCAAGCAUUAUUUCUAAGCCCUAACCAUCGUCUCUGCGUAGUUGGAUCUCGCCGAAAGCCACACUCCUUUCCCCGUCGCGACACGAGCUUCUCGCUCCCUCUCGGGUCGACCAAAGGCACUAGGUGAGUUCGCGGGCUGCUCCUCCUUCUUCCCGUGCCCGCGGCUUGGUUUUUGGUGCACAAAAUCGCGAGAACGCAGACGCCGGCGAGCUUAGCGGCGGCGCAAAUGGUGCACCACCGCGCCGGAGGACAGGAGCCGGCCGGCCCGCCGCCAGCGCCCCCUGCGCGUUUUCCACCGUCCGUUUGAACAUCUGCGGC
rnacentral:lncRNA from 1 species